rnacentral:rRNA from 1 species
GACGAACGCUGGCGGCGUGCUUAACACAUGCAAGUCGAACGGAAAGGCCCCUUUGGGGGUACUCGAGUGGCGAACGGGUGAGUAACACGUGAGUAACCUGCCCUUGACUUCGGGAUAACUUCAGGAAACUGGGGCUAAUACCGGAUAGGAAUCCUUGCUGCAUGGUGGGGGUUGGAAAGCUUCGGCGGUUUUGGAUGGACUCGCGGCUUAUCAGCUUGUUGGUGGGGUAGUGGCUUACCAAGGCUUUGACGGGUAGCCGGCCUGCGAGGGCGACCGGCCACAUUGGGACUGAGGUACGGCCCAGACUCCUACGGGGGGCAGCAGUGGGGAAUAUUGCACAAUGGGCGGAAGCCUGAUGCAGCAACGCCGCGUGCGGGAUGACGGCCUUCGGGUUGUAAACCGCUUUCAGCAGGGGCGAAGCUUGUGGUGACGGUACCUGCAGAAGAAGCACCGGCUAACUACGU